GCCUUCUUAGCUCAGGGGUAGAGCGUUCCACUCGUACUGUGGCUGUACAGCAUAGUCGUAUGGAAAGGUCGCUAGUUCGAAUCUGGUAGGAGGCA